ensembl:lncRNA
CGGCUUAUAGAUUAAAUGUUAAAACGGCUUGCCAUAAUGGGACACCGUACUGUCUUGUGGACACGUGCACGCGGCGGCCAUUGUAAGUCCGCAAGUGCAGUGUGCCACUGCCUGUAGACUUCUACGCCAUCUGAUUGGCCGAGAGUCUACAGUCUACAAUCGGCAAGAAAAAUGAUUAAACACAAAAGAGAGAAAAGGUGCACCUUGAUAUGGCGAUGCCAGUCAUCCAUCCGUCUUCAAAACCCCAGUGCUCCAGAGGCUGUCAGCAGGCCAUAUUGGUGGCGACAAAUGAGACCCGUGCCUACAGAGACAGAAGAAAGACAUUUCCUCUCCCCCUGAACAGCUGCUGAAGGGACCCCCACGCCAUACUGAAAGCAGUGUCUGGGGAAGUUGGUCGUACCAUUUGGCCAAUAUCGGGCUUGUGGCAAAUGAUGUAGGCUACAUGAAGCAGUAAGCAUUGUAGCAAAUUAGCUCAAAAGGGAAUUAUAUUUAUAAGUAAUUAUAACUGGUUAUAAUUACUCAGGAUUGGGAGGGUUACUUUUAAAAUGUAUUCCGUUAGUUACUUCAUUAAAAAAGUAUUCAGUAAGGUAAUCCAAGUACCACAAUAUAAAAGUAAUGUAAUCUUACUUAAAAAUUACUUUUAAAAGUAAAAUUACUUUUGGAUUACUUCAAGUUACAUAUGUAAAUAAAGUAAAAAAAAGCAAUAUCUAAGUACUUUUACAAGAACCAGAAGCAGAGAGUGCUACACGGGUGUCUUUAUAUAGCCACUGGUGCUCACUGGAUGUGAUGGAGGUAAAAAUCUAAUUAUGUUUAUAAUUACAUUUAUAAUUAUUUUUAAUCAAAUUUAUAAUACAAUUACAAAUACGAAAUACUUCCAAGGCACUCACGUGGUAAAAUAAAAAGCCUUUAAUGAACUGGGCUUAAAUCAUUACAACUAGUUAAAAGUAGAUCUACGCGUUUCGGCAAAACAGCCUUCUUCAGGACACACAUCAAUUGCUCAAACAGGUAUUCUUAAACUAGUUUUAAUUACUGAAUCAUCAAAUGGCACUUUUCCACUGCAGGGUACGGCUCGGUACAGUUCACUUUUGUGGGGUUUUCCACUGGGCACAGUACCUGGUACUUUUUUUAGUACCAUCUCGGUUGAGGUUCCAAGUGAACCGUACAGUUACCAAAACGUGACGUGUAAACUCUGCUGAUCACAGAUUGGCCGGAGAGAAUCGUCACUACCUGCAUCACUGAACUUGCGACACAAACACAAAAGAACCGCUAGAUUUAAAUCAGCACAGCCAGCGAAGGAUCGAACGCAACUGUUUUGAACGAGCGCACCUUUUUUUUAACAACCAAAAAGUUUUGUUGUCUGUUGCGGAAGAACAGACGUUCCUCUCGUUGAUAGCAGAGGAGCAGAUCCAGCGAGAGCUUGAUGGGGCGACGCGGAAUGAAAAGUUUUUUUUUUUUUAAGGAGUCAUGGUAGUAGAGGCGGCGCAACUAUAACGACGUGUGAAUAAUCCCGCCCACUCUAAAGCGGUACUGAACUGCAGUGGAAACGCAAAC